CGGAGGGUGCAAGCGUUAAUCGGAAUUACUGGGCGUAAAGCGCACGCAGGUGGCUGAGUCAGUCGAUUGUGAAAGCCCUGGGCUUAACUGGGAAUUGCAGUCGAUACUACUCGGCUUGAGUAUGGGAGAGGGCAGUGGAAUUCUCGGUGUAGCGGUGAAAUGCGUAGAUAUCGGGAGGAACAUCAGUGGCGAAGGCGGCUGCCUGGCCCAAUACUGACACUCAGGUGCGACAGCGUGGGGAGCAAACAGGAUUAGAUACCCUGGUAGUCCACGCCGUUAAACGAUGAGAACUAGAUGUCGGGGGGGAUUAGCCCCUCGGUGUCGUAGCUAACGCAUUAAGCAUUCCGCCUGGGGAGUACGGCCGCAAGGUUG
rnacentral:rRNA from 1 species